GGGUUGUGAGGUUAAGCGACUAAGCGUACACGGUGGAUGCCCUGGCAGUCAGAGGCGAUGAAGGACGUGCUAAUCUGCGAUAAGCGUCGGUAAGGUGAUAUGAACCGUUAUAACCGGCGAUUUCCGAAUGGGGAAACCCAGUGUGAUUCGUCACACUAUCAUUAACUGAAUCCAUAGGUUAAUGAGGCGAACCGGGGGAACUGAAACAUCUAAGUACCCCGAGGAAAAGAAAUCAACCGAGAUUCCCCCAGUAGCGGCGAGCGAACGGGGAGCAGCCCAGAGCCUGAAUCAGUGUGUGUGUUAGUGGAAGCGUCUGGAAAGGCGCGCGAUACAGGGUGAUAGCCCCGUACACAAAAAUGCACAUGCUGUGAGCUCGAUGAGUAGGGCGGGACACGUGGUAUCCUGUCUGAAUAUGGGGGGACCAUCCUCCAAGGCUAAAUACUCCUGACUGACCGAUAGUGAACCAGUACCGUGAGGGAAAGGCGAAAAGAACCCCGGCGAGGGGAGUGAAAAAGAACCUGAAACCGUGUACGUACAAGCAGUGGGAGCACGCUUAGGCGUGUGACUGCGUACCUUUUGUAUAAUGGGUCAGCGACUUAUAUUCUGUAGCAAGGUUAACCGAAUAGGGGAGCCGAAGGGAAACCGAGUCUUAACUGGGCGUUAAGUUGCAGGGUAUAGACCCGAAACCCGGUGAUCUAGCCAUGGGCAGGUUGAAGGUUGGGUAACACUAACUGGAGGACCGAACCGACUAAUGUUGAAAAAUUAGCGGAUGACUUGUGGCUGGGGGUGAAAGGCCAAUCAAACCGGGAGAUAGCUGGUUCUCCCCGAAAGCUAUUUAGGUAGCGCCUCGUGAAUUCAUCUCCGGGGGUAGAGCACUGUUUCGGCAAGGGGGUCAUCCCGACUUACCAACCCGAUGCAAACUGCGAAUACCGGAGAAUGUUAUCACGGGAGACACACGGCGGGUGCUAACGUCCGUCGUGAAGAGGGAAACAACCCAGACCGCCAGCUAAGGUCCCAAAGUCAUGGUUAAGUGGGAAACGAUGUGGGAAGGCCCAGACAGCCAGGAUGUUGGCUUAGAAGCAGCCAUCAUUUAAAGAAAGCGUAAUAGCUCACUGGUCGAGUCGGCCUGCGCGGAAGAUGUAACGGGGCUAAACCAUGCACCGAAGCUGCGGCAGCGACGCUUAUGCGUUGUUGGGUAGGGGAGCGUUCUGUAAGCCUGCGAAGGUGUGCUGUGAGGCAUGCUGGAGGUAUCAGAAGUGCGAAUGCUGACAUAAGUAACGAUAAAGCGGGUGAAAAGCCCGCUCGCCGGAAGACCAAGGGUUCCUGUCCAACGUUAAUCGGGGCAGGGUGAGUCGACCCCUAAGGCGAGGCCGAAAGGCGUAGUCGAUGGGAAACAGGUUAAUAUUCCUGUACUUGGUGUUACUGCGAAGGGGGGACGGAGAAGGCUAUGUUGGCCGGGCGACGGUUGUCCCGGUUUAAGCGUGUAGGCUGGUUUUCCAGGCAAAUCCGGAAAAUCAAGGCUGAGGCGUGAUGACGAGGCACUACGGUGCUGAAGCAACAAAUGCCCUGCUUCCAGGAAAAGCCUCUAAGCAUCAGGUAACAUCAAAUCGUACCCCAAACCGACACAGGUGGUCAGGUAGAGAAUACCAAGGCGCUUGAGAGAACUCGGGUGAAGGAACUAGGCAAAAUGGUGCCGUAACUUCGGGAGAAGGCACGCUGAUAUGUAGGUGAAGUCCCUCGCGGAUGGAGCUGAAAUCAGUCGAAGAUACCAGCUGGCUGCAACUGUUUAUUAAAAACACAGCACUGUGCAAACACGAAAGUGGACGUAUACGGUGUGACGCCUGCCCGGUGCCGGAAGGUUAAUUGAUGGGGUCAGCGCAAGCGAAGCUCUUGAUCGAAGCCCCGGUAAACGGCGGCCGUAACUAUAACGGUCCUAAGGUAGCGAAAUUCCUUGUCGGGUAAGUUCCGACCUGCACGAAUGGCGUAAUGAUGGCCAGGCUGUCUCCACCCGAGACUCAGUGAAAUUGAACUCGCUGUGAAGAUGCAGUGUACCCGCGGCAAGACGGAAAGACCCCGUGAACCUUUACUAUAGCUUGACACUGAACAUUGAGCCUUGAUGUGUAGGAUAGGUGGGAGGCUUUGAAGUGUGGACGCCAGUCUGCAUGGAGCCGACCUUGAAAUACCACCCUUUAAUGUUUGAUGUUCUAACGUUGACCCGUGAUCCGGGUUGCGGACAGUGUCUGGUGGGUAGUUUGACUGGGGCGGUCUCCUCCUAAAGAGUAACGGAGGAGCACGAAGGUUGGCUAAUCCUGGUCGGACAUCAGGAGGUUAGUGCAAUGGCAUAAGCCAGCUUGACUGCGAGCGUGACGGCGCGAGCAGGUGCGAAAGCAGGUCAUAGUGAUCCGGUGGUUCUGAAUGGAAGGGCCAUCGCUCAACGGAUAAAAGGUACUCCGGGGAUAACAGGCUGAUACCGCCCAAGAGUUCAUAUCGACGGCGGUGUUUGGCACCUCGAUGUCGGCUCAUCACAUCCUGGGGCUGAAGUAGGUCCCAAGGGUAUGGCUGUUCGCCAUUUAAAGUGGUACGCGAGCUGGGUUUAGAACGUCGUGAGACAGUUCGGUCCCUAUCUGCCGUGGGCGCUGGAGAACUGAGGGGGGCUGCUCCUAGUACGAGAGGACCGGAGUGGACGCAUCACUGGUGUUCGGGUUGUCAUGCCAAUGGCACUGCCCGGUAGCUAAAUGCGGAAGAGAUAAGUGCUGAAAGCAUCUAAGCACGAAACUUGCCCCGAGAUGAGUUCUCCCUGACUCCUUGAGAGUCCUGAAGGAACGUUGAAGACGACGACGUUGAUAGGCCGGGUGUGUAAGCGCAGCGAUGCGUUGAGCUAACCGGUACUAAUGAACCGUGAGGCUUAACCUUACAACGCCGAAGGAGUUU
rnacentral:rRNA from 1 species